rnacentral:rRNA from 1 species
AUUGAACGCUGGCGGCAGGCCUAACACAUGCAAGUCGAACGAGUGGCGGACGGGUGAGUAAUGUCUGGGAAACUGCCCGAUGGAGGGGGAUAACUACUCGAAACAGUAGCUAAUACCGCAUACCAUCGGAUGUGCCCAUAUGGGAUUAGCUAGUAGGUGGGGUAAAGGCUCACCAAGGCGACGAUCCCUAGCUGGUCUGAGAGGAUGACCAGCCACACUGGGACUGAGACACGGUCCAGACUCCUACGGGAGGCAGCAGUGGGGAAUAUUGGACAAUGGGGGAAAGCCUGAUGCAGCCAUCCCGCGUGUAUGAAGAAGGCCUUCGGGUUGUAAAGUACUUUUAGCGGGGAGGCGGUACCCGCAGAAGAAGCACCGGCUAACUCCGUGCCAGCAGCCGCGGUAAUUC